AUCGCUUCUCGGCCUUUUGGCUAAGAUCAAGUGUAGUAUCUGUUCUUAUCAGUUUAAUAUCUGAUAUGUCCUCUAUUUGAGGACUACAUAUUAAAUGGAUUUUUGGCACUGGGAGAUGGAAUAGGGGCUUGCUCCAUCCACUCCAAGCAUCGACCUGGUAUUGCAGUACCUCCAGGAACGGUGCACCUCCC
ensembl:snRNA U2 U2 spliceosomal RNA